AGGAAGGUGGGGAUGACGUCAAAUCAUCGUGCCCCUUAUGACCUGGGCUACACACGUGCUACAAUGGGCGGUACAAAGGGUCGCGAACCCGCGAGGGGGAGCCAAUCCCAAAAAGCUGACUCUACAGUUCCGGAUUGCAGGCUGCAACUCGCCUGCAUGAAGCCGGAAUCGCUAGUAAUCGCGGAUCAGCAUGCCGCGGUGAAUACGUUCCCGGGCCUU
rnacentral:rRNA from 1 species